AACGAACGCUGGCGGCAUGCCUAACACAUGCAAGUCGAACGGGUGUAGCAAUACAUCAGUGGCAGACGGGUGAGUAACACGUGGGAACCUUCCUAGGGGUACGGAACAACUCAGGGAAACUUGAGCUACUACCGUAUACGUCCGUGAGGAGAAAGAUUUAUCGCCCUUAGACGGGCCCGCGUCGGAUUAGGUAGUUGGUGGGGUAACGGCCUACCAAGCCUACGAUCCGUAGCUGAUCUGAGAGGAUGAUCAGCCACACUGGGACUGAGACACGGCCCAGACUCUUACGGGAGGCAGCAGUGGGGAAUCUUGAACAAUGGGCGAAAGCCUGAUCCAGCCAUGCCGCGUGAGUGAAGAAGGCCUUAGGGUUGUAAAGCUCUUUUGCCAGGGACGAUAAUGACGGUACCUGGAGAAUAAGCCCCGGCAAACUUCGUGCCAGCAGCCGCCGUAAUAC
rnacentral:rRNA from 1 species